rnacentral:rRNA from 1 species
AGCGAACGCUGGCGGCGUACUUAACACAUGCAAGUCGAACGAGGAGCCUCGGUGUAGCAAUACAUUGGAGCUUCGAGUGGCGCACGGGUGAGUAACACGUGGGCAACCUGCCCUUGAGACCGGGAUACCCCCUCGAAAGGGGGGCGUAAUACUGGAUACGCUCCUCGGGUCGCGAGACCUAGGGAGGAAAGGUGGCGCAAGCUGCCGCUCUUGGAGGGGCUCGCGGCCUANCAGCUAGUUGGUGAGGUCACGGCUCACCAAGGCGAUGACGGGUAGCUGGUCUGAGAGGACGACCAGCCACACGGGGACUGAGACACGGCCCCGACUCCUACGGGAGGCAGCAGUGGGGAAUUUUCCGCAAUGGGCGAAAGCCUGACGGAGUGACGCCGCGUGGGGGACGAAGGCC